UACGGAGGGGGCUAGCGUUGUUCGGAAUUACUGGGCGUAAAGCGCGCGUAGGCGGACCUGCAAGUCGGGGGGUGAAAGCCCGAAGGCUCAACCUCGGAACUGCCUUCGAUACUGCGGGUCUCGAGUCCGGGAGAGGUGAGUGGAAUUCCUAGUGUAGAGGUGAAAUUCGUAGAUAUUUAGGAAGAACACCAGUGGCGAAAGGCGGCUCAC
rnacentral:rRNA from 1 species